UACAGCCAUAUCACAUUAAAACACCAGUUCCCAUAUGAUCAAAGUUAAGCAACAUUGAUCCUGGUCAGUACCUAGAUGGGUGACUACUUGGGAACACCAGGUGCUGUAAG